rnacentral:lncRNA from 1 species
CAAGGGCGAUAGAUAGCUCUUCUACAGUUCUUCUCAGAGAUUGGAGUUCGUCAGGAUCCCGAACAGGAGCAAACGGAGCUCCUUCAGCUAACUGCCUUCGAAGGCGGACAAUCCGUCGGUCGCCAUCCUGAGCUUCCCCUUAUAAUCAUCCACCUGCUUGCACCAGUCAGUCCGGCACGCGUUAUAGCUUGCCUCGGCAUCCUGGAGCUAUUGCUGAAGGUUGGAGAACUUCCUCGACCAUUCUCGAUCGCAGUCGGCCUGAGUCGAAAGCCAGGACGAGCUUCCUUCCAACUAGCUGAUCCUCUCCUGUGCAGCCG